CCUACGGGAGGCAGCAGUGAGGAAUAUUGGUCAAUGGGCGUAAGCCUGAACCAGCCAAGUCGCGUGAGGGAUGAAGGUUCUAUGGAUCGUAAACCUCUUUUAUAAGGGAAUAAAGUGCGGGACGUGUCCCGUUUUGUAUGUACCUUAUGAAUAAGGAUCGGCUAACUCCGUGCCAGCAGCCGCGGUAAUACGGAGGAUCCGAGCGUUAUCCGGAUUUAUUGGGUUUAAAGGGUGCGUAGGCGGACUGGAAAGUCAGCGGUAAAAUCGAGAGGCUCAACCUCUUUCCGCCGUUGAAACUGUCGGUCGUGAGGGGGCGAGAGGUAUGCGGAAGGCGUGGUGUAGCGGUGAAAUGCAUAGAUAUCACGCAGAACUCCGAGUGCGAAGGCAGCAGACCGGCGCCCGACUGACGCUGAGGCACGAAAGCGUGGGUAUCGAACAGGAUUAGAUACCCCUGUAGUC
rnacentral:rRNA from 1 species